UACGUAGGGGGCGAGCGUUGUCCGGAAUCAUUGGGCGUAAAGAGCUCGUAGGCGGUUCAGUAAGUCGGCUGUGAAAUUCCGAGGCUCAACCUCGGAACUGCAGUCGAUACUAUUGUGACUAGAGUCCGGUAGAGGAGAAUGGAAUUCCCGGUGUAGCGGUGAAAUGCGCAGAUAUCGGGAGGAACACCAGUAGCGAAGGCGGUUCUCUGGGCCGGUACUGACGCUGAGGAGCGAAAGCAUGGGGAGCAAACAGG
rnacentral:rRNA from 1 species